rnacentral:tRNA from 1 species
GUAUGGCCGAGUGGAAUGAGGUCCGGACUUGGAACCCCAAGGUCAGCGGUUCGAUUCCC